rnacentral:hammerhead_ribozyme from 1 species
CAGCGAAACAUCCCCCGGAUGUCGCCGUGGCGUGGUGGUCACGGCCUGACGAGCCAGCCAGCC